AAAACCUAGAUGACAUUGCCUCAAGGGGCUGAUAUCCAUGCCUAUCCUGAAUACCCGAAUCUUUAGUGCACCAAGAAGGCUAAGGAGAAAAAGAGGUGCCUCCCAACCGCAAAAGGCUUCCUAUCCCAUUAAAAACAGCAAAACAGAUGGUCAGAGACAAAGCUAGGGCAGCUGGCAGCUGGCUGCCUGGCAUGAUGCAAAUGGAUGGUGCCUAGGAAGAGUGCAGACCUUGCCCUGUGGGUGGAGCUUCCCGUGCACCAGAGCAAUUUCCCAGAUUCUUCUGGCAUCUAGUAAAUAUUUGUCCAACUAAAUGAACUCUUGAGUCUGAUUUGUGAAGCCGGAAAGCACUUGUUUGCUCCUUAUUUCUUUGCAUAAUGACAGAAACAGGUACGGUACGAGUUUAAUAAAUGAAAA
rnacentral:lncRNA from 1 species